UGCGUAUUUGUAUUGUCACUCUAGCAGAUUGUGUAGCCAUCCAACUAAGCGCCAUUGGUUUAGUGGUAAAAUCCAACGUUGCCAUCGUUGGGCCCCGGGUUCGAUUCCCGGAUGGCGCA
rnacentral:tRNA from 1 species